rnacentral:rRNA from 1 species
GGGUUGUGAGGUUAAGCGACUAAGCGUACACGGUGGAUGCCCUGGCAGUCAGAGGCGAUGAAGGGCGUGCUAAUCUGCGAUAAGCGCCGGUAAGGUGAUAUGAACCGUUAUAACCGGCGAUACCCGAAUGGGGAAACCCAGUGUGAUUCGUCACACUAUCAUUAACUGAAUCCAUAGGUUAAUGAGGCGAACCGGGGGAACUGAAACAUCUAAGUACCCCGAGGAAAAGAAAUCAACCGAGAUUCCCCCAGUAGCGGCGAGCGAACGGGGAGGAGCCCAGAGCCUGAAUCAGCAUGUGUGUUAGUGGAAGCGUCUGGAAAGGCGCGCGAUACAGGGUGACAGCCCCGUACACAAAAGCGCAUGUGCUGUGAGCUCGAUGAGUAGGGCGGGACACGUGGUAUCCUGUCUGAAUAUGGGGGGACCAUCCUCCAAGGCUAAAUACUCCUGACUGACCGAUAGUGAACCAGUACCGUGAGGGAAAGGCGAAAAGAACCCCGGCGAGGGGAGUGAAAAAGAACCUGAAACCGUGUACGUACAAGCAGUGGGAGCACAGGUUUACCUGUGUGACUGCGUACCUUUUGUAUAAUGGGUCAGCGACUUAUAUUCUGUAGCAAGGUUAACCGUAUAGGGGAGCCGCAGGGAAACCGAGUCUUAACCGGGCGUUAAGUUGCAGGGUAUAGACCCGAAACCCGGUGAUCUAGCCAUGGGCAGGUUGAAGGUUGGGUAACACUAACUGGAGGACCGAACCGACUAAUGUUGAAAAAUUAGCGGAUGACCUGUGGCUGGGGGUGAAAGGCCAAUCAAACCGGGAGAUAGCUGGUUCUCCCCGAAAGCUAUUUAGGUAGCGCCUCGUGAAUUCAUCUCCGGGGGUAGAGCACUGUUUCGGCUAGGGGGCCAUCCCGGCUUACCAACCCGAUGCAAACUGCGAAUACCGGAGAAUGUUAUCACGGGAGACACACGGCGGGUGCUAACGUCCGUCGUGAAGAGGGAAACAACCCAGACCGCCAGCUAAGGUCCCAAAGUCAUGGUUAAGUGGGAAACGAUGUGGGAAGGCCCAGACAGCCAGGAUGUUGGCUUAGAAGCAGCCAUCAUUUAAAGAAAGCGUAAUAGCUCACUGGUCGAGUCGGCCUGCGCGGAAGAUGUAACGGGGCUAAACCAUGCACCGAAGCUGCGGCAGCGACACUCAGGUGUUGUUGGGUAGGGGAGCGUUCUGUAAGCCUGUGAAGGUGGCCUGUGAGGGUUGCUGGAGGUAUCAGAAGUGCGAAUGCUGACAUAAGUAACGAUAAAGCGGGUGAAAAGCCCGCUCGCCGGAAG